GUUGCAGGAAUGGGGUGAUCCUCGCAAAGAAGAGUUUUACUUUUAUAUGAAGUCAUAUUCCCCUGUUGAUAAUGUGAAGGCACAAAAUUAUCCUGCAAUUCUUGUUACUGCUGGUUUGAAUGAUCCGCGGGUUAUGUAUUCUGAAGCUGCGAAAUACGUAGCAAAGUUGAGAGAUACAAAAACUGAUAAUAAUCUGCUGUUGUUCAAAUGUGAACUUGGUGCAGGGCACUUUUCAAAGUCUG